rfam:Schistosoma rodhaini strain Burundi genome assembly, scaffold: SROB_contig0001442
AUCCAAAUGACGACUCUCAAAUAGGAUGAAAUGCGCGUUCUGGAU